rnacentral:rRNA from 1 species
UUUUUGGAGGGGCAAAGUCUGGUGCCAGCAGCCGCGGUAAUUCCAGCUCCAAUAGCGUAUAUUAAAGUUGUUGCAGUUAAAAAGCUCGUAGUUGAAUUUCGGGAUCAUCAGGUUGGUCGUGCCUCUGGUAUGUACUGAUUUCGAUGGUUCCUCCUUCUUGUAGAACCGUAAUGCCAUUAAUUUGGUGUUGCGGGAAAACAGGACUGUUACUUUGAAAAAAUUAGAGUGUUUAAAGCAGGCAAUCGCUUGAAUACAUUAGCAUGGAAUAAUGAAAUAGGACGUUCGAUCCUAUUUUGUUGGUUUCUAGGAUUGACGUAAUGAUUAAUAGGGAUAGUUGGGGGCAUUAGUAUUCAAUUGUCAGAGGUGAAAUUCUUGGAUUUAUUGAAGACUAACUACUGCGAAAGCAUUUGCCAAGGAUGUUUUCAUUAAUCAAGAACGAAAGUUAGGGGAUCGAAGACGAUCAGAUACCGUCGUAGUCCUAACCAUAAACUAUGCCGACUAGGGAUCGGAUGAUGUUAAUUUUUUAAUGACUCAUUCGGCGCCUUACGGGAAACAAAA